rnacentral:misc_RNA from 1 species
GAUGUAGAACGUAGCGAAAUGCGAUACUUGGUGUGAAUUGCAGAAUCCCGUGAACCAUCGAGUCUUUGAACGCAAGUUGCGCCCGAAGCCAUUAGGCCGAGGGCACGCCUGCCUGGGUGUCACACGUCGUUGCCCCCCCAUCUACUCCUUCGGGAUUGCGGGGGGCGGAUGAUGGCCUCCCGUGCGCCUCGUCGCGCGGUUGGCAUAAAUGCCAAGUCCUCGGCGACGCACGCCACGACAAUCGGUGGUUGCGAAACCUCGGUUGCCCGUCGUGUGCGGUCGUCGCGCAUCGAGGGCUCGAAAAAAUUGCCGGGCUCCGGCUCGGCUUUCAACGCGACCCCAGGUCAGGCGGGGUUACCCGCUGAAUUUAAGCAUAUCAAUAAGCGGAGGA